rnacentral:rRNA from 1 species
AAACUUUCAACAAUGGAUCUCUUGGUUCCGGCAUCGAUGAAGAACGCAGCGAAAUGCGAUAACUAAUGUGAAUGCAGAAUUCAAGUGAAUCAUCGAGUCUUUGAACGCAAAUUGCGCCCCCUUGUUAUUCCGGGGGCAUGCCUGUCCGAGCGUCAUU